CAGUCCUAAUAAGAGACAGAAAUGAUAGGCAAAUAAACACAUAAUAAUAACAACAACACAGGCAGACUCAUUGAAGAAUCUCUACCCCCUCCUCUUCCUCCUCAUCAUCAUCAUCACCACCAUCUUCUACAUUAUUUCAAGUCUGCUUUCCAUGUUGGUGUGGGGUGAAUGAUUCAUCAUGGCCUGAGUUAGUUCUUAUUUAGAUUUACUAUCUUCCCAGACAGGUUAAAGAUCAUAUCUCAACCAUAUGUUUCAUUUAGGGAAUGGUUUCUAUGACUGCCUGUGCUAAUACCAACUAUACAGAAUAUAUAAGGUGCAUUUUAAUGUGGUACCAGUACUAGAAAAGUUGUCAGAUCCUCAAUAAGCUUAAAGGGUCCUCUUGGGUGUACAAUUUCUCCAGUUAUUCACCAAAUACUUUAUGACGGGCAUCGGGUGCAUUCAAUUGUGGCACCAACAUUAAGUUGGUGAUGAAAUUUGUUACUCACCUGCGAAAAUAAUAAUACUGAUACAUACCUGUUGGCUGUUAAAAAUAGUUUUUUGAGAUUUGGACAUUUUCGGACUAAUUCUAUAAAACAAC